rnacentral:rRNA from 1 species
UAGGGAAUCUUCCGCAAUGGACGAAAGUCUGACGGAGCAACGCCGCGUGAGUGAAGAAGGCUUUCGGUUCGUAAAACUCUGUUGUUAGGGAAGAAAAAAUGUAUAGUAACUAUAUACAAAAGAGACGGUACCUAACCAGAAAGCCACGGCUAACUACGUGCCAGCAGCCGCGGUAAUACGUAGGUGGCAAGCGUUGUCCGGAAUUAUUGGGCGUAAAGCGCGCGCAGGUGGUUUAGAAAGUCUGAUGUGAAAGCCCACGGCUCAACCGUGGAGGGUCAUUGGAAACUAAUAAACUUGAGUGCAGGAGAGAAAAGUGGAAUUCCUAGUGUAGCGGUGAAAUGCGUAAAGAUUAGGAGGAACACCGGUGGCGAAAGCGGCUUUUUGGCCUGCAACUGACACUGAGGCGCGACAGCGUGGGGAGCAAACAGG